UACGAAGGGGGCUAGCGUUGCUCGGAAUCACUGGGCGUAAAGCGCACGUAGGCGGAUUGCUAAGUCAGGGGUGAAAUCUGGAGCUCAACUCCAGAACUGCCUUUGAUACUGGCGAUCUCGAGUCCGGGAGAGGUGAGUGGAACUGCGAGUGUAGAGGUGAAAUUCGUAGAUAUUCGCAAGAACACCAGUGGCGAAGGCGGCUCACUGGCCCGGUACUGACGCUGAGGUGCGAAAGCGUGGGGAGCAAACAGG
rnacentral:rRNA from 1 species